AUGGCAGGCUGCUUUAUGUAUGAGACACAAGAAACAGUUUUGCAAAAGUUAGCCUAAUGUGUUCCUCCCAAUGCGCAACUAAUGCAGUGUUAUGACAAGAAAUCUCAUGAAAUUCAAGCAGUAAAUCGUCUUGUGCAUGCCAGCAGCACACACAUGCACAUAAAGGGAGAAAAACGAUGUUAUACCAGUGUCACACAGGCACUUUCCAUUUGAAGAGUUCCCGAUCGGA
rnacentral:lncRNA from 1 species